UCAACGAUCCGAUACUGAGAGAUAUGAGAUGCCUUUUUGGUUGCAAACUGGGACUUUGUUAAUUUACUGAAACAUGUAAUUGGUUUCACUUUUUUAAGAAAAAUAGAUUAAUCACAAAAAAUCUUAUAUACAUGACAUAAUUCAUGUUCCGUGAAAAUUCACACAAAAAAUACGAUGGGCUAAUAAAAUUCACAUUGUCAGUGAAACUUGGCUAUUUUAAGGGAAAUGAUCGUCUUGAAGCUGCAAUUUGCUCGUGAAAAUAGCUUAAAAGACGCAGAUUGAUUACAUCAGAACGUUGUUUUGCUUAUAGAUUAUGAUGAUUAGUUAAUAUUGUUAUUAUAUAAAAUUAUGUGCUCUAAUUAUUAGUUUGUUUUUCGAAAUUCGGAUUCAUCUAUGCCCAAAAAUUGAUACAUUUGGAUCAGGAUUAGCGAAAUUACGAUUUAAAAUGCUAACACUUGUUAUCUAAUGUACAUUUUACAGAUUUCUAUUUUUAGAAGCUGAGAUUCCUGUCCUGAACAAUUGGUUUAAAUAUCACAGAUGAAUGGAUCGAAUGGUGUAGAGUCAUUUUUUAAAGCAUUGGGAUAGCCAAUCCAUUAUCUAGCAGUGAAAGGAUUAAGCAGGAUCUGUGCAAAUCUUGGUCUAUGGCCAGUUAUAUACCGGGGUAAAUACCUGUAAAUAAAGCAAUGCAGCUUAAAACACCUGUAAAUCGUCUUUGGCUCAAAUACAAAUCACAAAUCAAACAUGGGAGCCCACAAAGAUUCAUAUCUUCCUAAUUGCAUAAAUUGAAUUAUAAUUGAACCACAAAGGACGUUGACUUAAAAUACUUACAACGAUAAAAGGGUAAAUUGAAAGGUUGACAUUUUCAUUUUUUUUUGUGUAAUCCAUCCAUUGAAAUAUAAUAUUUGUGUAUUACAAUUACAAAUACAAAAGGCUUGAAUGUAAAGGUGUAAAUACAAGGAUACAAUAUACGGAUACAAACAAGAGGGACUCAAAGGAGUAAUGAAAACGGACUACAAAAAAAGCAGUGUUUGAUGAUGGGUUGAUGAAGCAUCAAUGAUCGGCUUACCACGGGCGGGUUACCACUUGCUUGAUUGAGUAUACGUUUUUCAAGUUAAAUGAAAGAUGAAAACAAAAACAACAAUCCCAGCUAAAUCUAUCAAGCGUACAAGGAAAGCCGAGUAAAGAGGAGGAGGAGGUGGUGAUGGUAACUCCUUUUUAAGAAAUAGAUGAAAUAAAUUCUUUGGUCAGUCGGUCAGUUUUCUAGCAGAUAAAAAGAUCAAGAUGAAGACGACGAAAAAUAAGAAGAAGAAGAAGGAAUUGAAAUAAACAGGUUGACAUCCACAGACACACACAGACAUAUACAUAGAUAUAUAUAUUUAUAAACAACAAAGGUAUUUGAAAGAUGAAGAGAGGAGGUUAAAGAGGAGGAGGUGGGUGGAGAUGGAGGAAAGGAAGGUGAGAGUGAAUCAUUGGAGAUAAAGGUCACAAAUGUCACUAAUAACAGGGGCUGAAAAGCUCCUUAUGGUCACUUUUUCCUCUUCCUCUUCUUGGCUACUUUAUAUCCCUUACCAUCUUCGUCUUGUGAAAUAAGCAAAGGAAAAAAGGCAAAAAGGACAAAGUCAAAGGGCGAUUCAGAUCGUCAAUUGUCAAUGGAUGUGUAUAAGAUGGACAAUUAUUUCCCAUUGGAUCCAUGCAUGUACAUAUAUAUUCUGGAUGUUAUUUAAAACUCUCACUCUGGGUGACCUUUAAAGACUACUCUUUAAUCAUCUCUUACCUUCUCCUUUGCCCUCAACAUUUGACCCUUUUUUUUGUCGGUUGCUCUUCUUUUAGACCUAAAAAUGUGUUGUUCAAGCUUUACCUUUGGCGUUCCAAUUGAAUGGGCAAAAAUGCUGUUUUGGCUUUACUUUGUUCGUACCAUCAACUUGAGAUAAUGGUGAUGAUGAUGAUGAUGAAAAGGACUGAGAAACGGUCAAAGAGGCUACAAUUUAAAUAUAUUUAUGUGUGUAUAUAUAAUACAUUUCAUCUUUGUCUUGCCGUUUCUCAUCUUCACUGGUUUGACAAAAAGAAGGGUGUUUUUGCGUUUGCGGUGGGAGGAGAAGCCAAUGAUUAAAUUGAAUGAAUGGUUCCAAGGAGAGGGAGGGAAAGUUAUUGAUAAAAGAUUACCAUGAUGACUUGUGAGAUUAUUUUAUUCAAUUGUGGACAGUUUAUCAUCAUAUGGGAAGCGAAGAGAGUAUGAAGGAGGAGAUGAGAUGAUGAUAUGUUGAUGAUGGCAAGAUGAAAGUUACUCUGGGAAUUGAGAGAUGAGAAGACGAGCAAAAAUGUAAAUUAUUAUUAUUAUCAUCAAAUAGCAUUGUAACAGUUGAUUUGGACAAUCAAUUAAAUAGAUUCAAGGCUUACAAUUGAUUAGUGAGGGACAAGUUUUGCUCCUUUUUUUCACUUGGCUUUGUGUUAUUACAA